UACGGAGGGGGCUAGCGUUGUUCGGAAUUACUGGGCGUAAAGCGCGCGCAGGCGGUCCUUCAAGUCAGAGGUGAAAGCCCAGAGCUCAACUCUGGAACGGCCUUUGAGACUAGAGGACUUGGGUACGGGAGAGGUGAGUGGAAUUCCGAGUGUAGAGGUGAAAUUCGUAGAUAUUCGGAAGAACACCAGUGGCGAAGGCGGCUCACUGGCCCGUUACCGACGCUCAGGCGCGACAGCGUGGGGAGCAAACAGG
rnacentral:rRNA from 1 species